GGAGGACACAAAGCGCGACAGCCGAGGUUGCCGACGCCCCGCCCACCUCAAAUCCCGCCCAAUUCAGGAAGUCCGAGAGGAGUCUCCUGACCCUCAGCCUUCUUCCUACCGUGUCCCGCCCCCUCGCCCAGGGCGCGUCGAGUCAGCGCAAGGGCCGUUGGGAGUUGUAGUUUUCCUUCAGGAAUCCGCCUUUCCCUUUCCCUGUCCCUCCUAGUAUCACUGUUUUGAUGAAAAUGUGUGUAGUUUCUCUUUCUCACCGCAAGACUGACCAGCUUUCAAUUUACACUCAGUUUGCCUCUUUUUACCAAACUUCGUGGAAAGGCUGACCUCCUGGAGAAUUUCCCCGCCGGCUGGAUUCCUCUGUUGGGAUCUGCUCCCUGGGUCACUAUUCUCUGGGAUUCGUACUUUGCUUCUGCUGCGGUGGGGCCAGAACGGGAAACUGCCGCUCUUGCUGGGAGAGCACCAAGUCCUGGGUUUCACCGAAAACGGGAAGAUGGUCGUGUACAUGCGUCUAUUGCUGCAGUCCAAAAAAGUGAUCGCCUCUCAACCUUUAAAAAGAGCAAUGUGCCCACCCCAGAUUUUUAUGUCACGGAGGCCCCUAAAAGAUCUCUCAGAAGCUUGUUUAGGGACCCUCUGCCUGAAAGUCCAAAAUGCUUGACUGCUUUUCUUCCCAAGCGCCUCUUGACAUAACUCUCGAACUAGGUUACUCAGGACAGAGAACAGGUGCUCCUGAGCUGACCCUCAGAAGAUCACAGCCAAGAAGGUUCUGAAGAAAACUUGCUCAUCACAAGUUAUUAGGUGCCUCUUCUGUCUCCUCUGCUUCUCACUCCAAACCCACAAGUCUUUUCCACCAAGUCUCUGUAAUGAUCUUUUGUAAUAUGCUGCUAGUAGGUAGAAUUUUUCUUCCUUCUUCCUCCUUUCCUUCCUUCUUUCUUCGUUUUUCCUAGAGGUGGGGCUUUAUUGCUACCGCUGUGGUAGGGUUGUCAUCCACCUAGUUAUUAAUCAAUAAGUAUCUUUCAUUAUUUCAAUUAAUAAAUAUCCUUUUCUCUUUUUGCUAGUUUCAUUUCCAUAGCUUCGUGUUAAGGUUUAAUCUUCAGUUCUCUGAGCUCUUGGAUAGUUCAUAAAACCAGUUCUCAACUAUACUGUUGACUCCCAGGUCUAUAUCCCAACCUCUUUACAAGUAGUUGCUGGAUAUAACACUUAUUCUACCACCCUUUCAAAUUUUACCUGCGUAAAACUGAACUCAUCUCCCCUAUAAAUUAGCUUCUUCACCCAAGUUUCUAUUUGUGUUAAUUCUUCUUUGUUUUAAGGCUUCAGAUCAUGAGAAUAAGAGAAGUUCUGUGGAGCUGACCUUUGAAAAACUGGUAUACAUUUUUCUGCAUGGUUGUUAAAUAUGAUGAGAAAAAAUAAUGGAAAAUUAUAUUAUAAUGCAAUAAAGAAAUAAGAAAAUCGGUAAGAAGUAUAUAAAAUAAAUUUUGCAUAGAAAAAUACCACCAUAUUUAAAAGUUUAAGGUAUGCCAAAGAAUGUCAAGAAAGUGUAUAGAAAAAUCAAAAUAUGCAUAUAAUCUUUAAGGCUCAGGCUAAGUAACAACCACUGCCACCUCUCAACUAAACAACGUAGUAAUCAACCAGGCACAAUUUUUCCCCUUGGGAGAAAACUGAGCAAAAUCUGGAAACAUUCUUGGUUGUUACAAUUGAGGAAGUGCUACAUCUAGUGGGUAGAGGCCAGGGAUGUGACAUCAUACACAGCAGAAAAUGCCCUACACAACAAAAAAUUGUUUGGCCUGAAGAGCCAAUAGUGCCCAGCUUGAGAAUCCUUGAUGUAGCAGAAUCUCUCAAUUUGAUAAAAUCCCUAAAGCACUGACCACACACAUGAUAAUUCAUGUGCCUUGCAAUAACUUGGAUUAUUCAAGUCACCUAGGACUAAACUACAGGAUGAACAACAGUUCUCCCAUUCCUAAAAGGCUAACACACACAAACUCUGAAUAGCCUCAGUCCCUGCCCUGAUAAAAUCAGACACUGAUCUUUGCUGAUGGUGGAAAAGAACAAGUCCAUCUCAGAAAGAAGCCAACCCCUCUGGCCAUCUUCUUUGUCCUGUAUCUCACAUACAUUAAAAGCCCCAGGGAAUAAAUAUUGUUUAAUUUAAGUCUAUGGUAUGUGAUGAUCCAGGUUUGACAUAUUUUGAAUUUGCUGAAAAGUUAUCUGCCAUUUUCAGCAUUAUAAAAUGCUGAGAUACGAUGUGUCUUAGAGAGGAACUGCUGAAGCUCAGCAAAAUUGGAGGCUUCCAGAGGAAAAGCUAGUUAGGAUGAAAGUUCUCUGGAGAUCAAUGAAAGAAAGGUCAGAGAAUUGAGAAAAGACUAGUAGACAAGAAAAGGGACUAAACCAGACGGGAAGAAGGGUGAAUUUGGCAAUCAGAACUUAAAAUUUUAACUACCUGUAGAUACAAUAUAGGCAGAGCUUUCUAUUUGCCUUCAUUCCAUUUGCUGCUGCUGCUUUGAGUGUGUGCAGAUAUGUGCACCUGCUUUAUUUAGUUACCCUUUGCCUGAGGAGAGCCUAAACUACUUUACCAAGUCUACCUUAGAGCACUGAUAAUGUGGCCACUUGAGGAGAUAGAGGUAGAGCUCACAGGGAGAUAAGAAAGUAAAUUGCUUCUCUAGGACAGUCCUUCCAGAAGGAUCACAAACUGAAAUGUUGGCUUGUACAUGUCUAUUUAUACUGAAAAUACCAAAAAAUAAGAUUUCCCCUUUAAAAUUUUCUACUUUAUGAUUCCCAGUUUAACCUUAUAUCACUGAUUAACAAAUGUCUACUUUGAGGAUACAUAAGUUUGGCAGGCUAGUAAUGGAAUCAUCCAAAGGAGGGAUUACUUGGGAAGUGGGUGAUCAAGAGGGAGAAAUCAAGGAUUUCCAGGAGAGAGUGUGGUCAUGACAUGAAUAGGAAAGUCAGGUUUGUAAGGAAGAUUAGUUUGGUUUUAGAAGCAUAAUAUUAAGCUUGAAGUCUACAAACAAUACAUGCUAGAAAGGGUGUGGAGAAAAAAGAACCCUCCUACACUGGUGGGAAUGUAAAUUAGUACAACCACUAUAGCAAACAGUGUGGAGGUUCCUUAAAAAACUAAAAGUAGAAUUACCAUAUGAUUCAUCAAUCCCACUCCUGGGCAUGUGUCUGGAGAAACUUGUAAUUUGAAGGAUACAUGUUCAUUGCACCACUAUUUACAGUAUUUACAAUAGUCAAGACAAGAAGCAACCUAAUUGUCCAUCAAAGAGGAAUGGAUAAAGAAGAUGUGGUACAUAUAUACAAUAGAAUAUUAG